GACGUAGCAAUACGUUUGUAAAGCGGCGAACGGGUGAGGAAUACAUGGGUAACCUACCCUCGAGUGGGGAAUAACUAGCCGAAAGGUUAGCUAAUACCGCGUACGCUUCUUGGACUUCGGUUCAGGGAGGAAAGCGAUACCGUGGGUAUCGCGCUCUUGGAUGGGCUCAUGUCCUAUCAGCUUGUUGGUGAGGUAACGGCUCACCAAGGCUUCGACGGGUAGCUGGUCUGAGAGGACGAUCAGCCACACUGGCACUGCGACACGGGCCAGACUCCUACGGGAGGCAGCAGUAAGGAAUAUUGCGCAAUGGGCGAAAGCCUGACGCAGCGACGCCGCGUGGGGGAUGAAGGUCUUCGGAUUGUAAACCCCUUUCGGGAGGGAAGAUGGAAUGGGGUAACCCAUUCGGACGGUACCUCCAGAAGCAGCCACGGCUAACUUCGUGCCAGCAGCCGCGGUAAUACGAAGGUGGCAAGCGUUAUUCGGAUUUACUGGGCGUACAGGGAGCGUAGGCGGUUCGGUAAGCCCUCUGUGAAAUCUUCAGGCUUAACCUGGAAAAGUCGGAGGGGACUGCCGGGCUAGAGGACGGGAGAGGAGCGCGGAAUUCCCGGUGUAGCGGUGAAAUGCGUAGAGAUCGGGAGGAAGGCCGGUGGCGAAGGCGGCGCUCUGGAACGUUUCUGACGCUGAGGCUCGAAAGCGUGGGGAGCAAACAGGAUUAGAUACCCUGGUAGUCCACGCCUUAAACUAUGAAUACUAAGUGUCGGCGGGUUACCGCCGGUGCCGCAGCUAACGCAUUAAGUAUUCCGCCUGGGAAGUACGGCCGC
rnacentral:rRNA from 1 species